UGGGGAAUAUUGCACAAUGGGCGCAAGCCUUAUGCAGCCAUGCCGCGUGUAUGAAGAAGGCCUUCGGGUUGUAAAGUACUUUCAGUCGGGAGGAAGGUGGUAAGGUUAAUAACCUUAUCAAUUGACGUUACCGACAGAAGAAGCACCGGCUAACUCCGUGCCAGCAGCCGCGGUAAUACGGAGGGUGCAAGCGUUAAUCGGAAUUACUGGGCGUAAAGCGCACGCAGGCGGUUGAUUGAGUCAGAUGUGAAAUCCCCGGGCUUAACCCGGGACUUGCAUCUGAUACUGGUCAGCUAGAGUCUUGUAGAGGGGGGUAGAAUUCCAUGUGUAGCGGUGAAAUGCGUAGAGAUGUGGAGGAAUACCGGUGGCGAAGGCGGCCCCCUGGACAAAGACUGACGCUCAGGUGCGAAAGCGUGGGGAGCAAACAGG
rnacentral:rRNA from 1 species